rnacentral:rRNA from 1 species
UGCUCUGUAAGUUUCCGGUUAAAUCCAUUAGCUCAACUGAUGGGCCGCCGGAAAAACUGCAAAGCUAGGGAGUGGGAGAGGUAGACGGUACUCGGUAGGAAGGGGUAAAAUCCUUUGAUCUAUUGAUGACCACCAGUGGCGAAGGCGGUCUACCAGAACACGUUCGACGGUGAGGGAUGAAAGCUGGGGGAGCAAACCGGAUUAGAUACCCGGGUAGUCCCAGCUGUAAACGAUGCAGACUCGGUGAUGCCCUGGCUUGUGGCCAGUGCAGUGCCGCAGGGAAGCCGUUAAGUUUGCCGCCUGGGAAGUACGUACGCAAGUAUGAAACUUAAAGGAAUUGGCGGGGGAGCACCACAAGGGGUGAAGCCUGCGGUUCAAUUGGAGUCAACGCCAGAAAUCUUACCCGAAGAGACAGCAGAAUGAAGGUCAAGCUGGAGACUUUACCAGACAAGCUGAGAAGUGGUGCAUGGCCGUCGCCAGCUCGUGCCGUGAGAUGUCCUGUUAAGUCAGGUAACGAGCGAGAUCCCUGCCUCUAGUUGCCACCAUUACUCUCAGGAGUAGUGGGGCGAAUUAGCGGGACCGCCACAGUUAAUGUGGAGGAAGGAAGGGGCCACGGCAGGUCAGUAUGCCCUGAAACUUUGGGGCCACACGCGGGCUGCAAUGAUAGUGACAAUGAGUUCCUAAACCGAAAGGUGGAGGCAAUCUUCAAACGCUAUCACAGUUAUGAUUGAGGGCUGCAACUCGCCCUCAUGAAUAUGGAAUCCCUAGUAACUGCGUGUCAUUACCGCGCGGUGAAUACGUCCCUGCUCCUUGCACACACCGCCCGU